UUCGUUGAUCUGUUUCUUUGAUUUUUCUGUUUUCACACAAGCUAUCUUGUUCCAAAGGUUUCAUUCUCCUUUAAUGAUACACAGUACAAUGUGAUUAUGCCACAAGUUACCAAUGAGUUUUUAAACAAGAAUUCAUGGAGACAAGGAAAAUACCAUGGUCAAUUAUGUAGUGCAAUAUUUCAAGGUGAUCAAUUCUUAAUGGAAUUAAAGAGAAAUAGAAUAUAACUAAUUUUCAAUGCCAAAAAUCUUUUAAUCAAGUCUGCUAGGGCACUCAAAAGAGAUACAGACUGAUCACUCAUAAAAGACUACAAAAAGUAAUGGAUUGGUCAUCAUCUUUUUUUUCUUACUAAAAGUUUCAGUGAAUUAUUGAAAAUCUCUCAGUUAAAAAGUUAAAUGAAUAUUCUCCCAAUAAAUAGAUUCAUAAAAAAUAACUCAUAAAAUCAUGGUCAAUGGAUUGGUAUUGUUUCAAAAUAGUGUCUGAAACAAAUUGCAUUAUUUUGUAUAAAAAGUUGUUAAAAAUACAAAUGUACAUGCACUUUGACCCAUGGCAAACAUCUUGGCCCUGCAACAUACAGACAUUUUAAUGAAUAUUUCUGUACAGGAUGUGCAAAAAUUCAUUAUUACAAUCAAAUUAUUUUUUUUUAAUGUUUCAGAGCCUAGCUCAUACCAGUGGUUGAUUUCAGUGAAAAAAAACCCUUAUCCAAAACAACCAAUUCAAAAAAUUAUUACAUGUGUCAUUUUGGUACAUUUCAAUUAUGUUUUCCAUUUUUAUUUUCUUUUUUUUGUAAAUGCAAAUUGGAAAUUCAAUUGAUUGAAAUUGAUCAUCUAAAAUAUUGCCAAGUUAGAAGUGCAUUUCCUCAACAUUUAUCUUGUAGCCAAGUAAAACGGGUGACGUAAUGUGUCCCAUAUCUUCAUUCAUACAUUACAUCAACUCACAAACAUUUCUCAUACUCGUACUAAUUAAUCAUAUUUACAACAUACUAUACAUAUAAUAUAUACAAGAUGUUAGGCACAAUGCAUAUAUGAACGGAUAUAUCAGUUUUCAUAAUUUCUCUUUACAGAUAUGCAUUAGAAAUUUCAUUAGAAAUGUGAUACAAAAAAUUCAUGAUCGGUAAUGAUUAAAUUGUGUUUUAUGCGGUUGAAUAAAAGAAUUUUAAAAAGUGCAAGAUUAAAAGAACUGUGGUUUGUGUUUAUUAGUAAGUUUAUAAAUGACAGACAUAAUUGAAAAAAAACCCUUUGAUUUUUGUUUUUUCAUGAUAAAAAUAAAUAAUUAAUAGAGAGCAUUCAUAAAUGAAUGUGGGCACUGAAAUAUCAAAAUUGAUGGAAAAUUAAAUAAAGCUAAUCUAAAAAGGAAAAUCAAAGAAGGGAACAGAACGUACAUUGUAAAGCAACUAAUCAGAAAAGCUUGAUUUUUAGCAAGUUAUUUGGAAAAAAAGAAGAAAAGUUGGAAGUGAGGAGAUGUAAAAAUAAGAAAAGACAGAAAGAAAGAGGAAGAGAGAUCAGAGUGCUUUUGUAAUUUUAUACAAUGAUUACAUACAAUAGAGGUAACUUUUUUUUUUAAAUGACAUUAUAUUAUAAGAAAGUCUUGUAAUUAGAAAGAUCAAUGAAUAUAAAUCAAUGAACAUAAUUUUGCCUGAGCUGAGGAGAUCAUUUCACAAAUUCAUCCCCUUAGAACGACACUUACGCCAAAUUAAAUCAUGGAGGUAUUAGCCGAUCUCCAUAUUUCCCAUUGAAUCCAAAGCACUGAUUAAUGAAACAUUCUUUUUUUUUAAGGAUAAUGAGAGGACCACAAUUUCAUUUAAAAUAAAAGAAAGCCCAUGAAAAAAAAAUGCAUAUACAAUGUUUUACUGACUUGGCACCUGAAUCAUGAAAAUACUGAUCUUAUAUACACGUAACAAAUACUCAUCAUCCAUCAUAAAAUCUCUAAAAACAAGAGGUAAAAAGCUGCAAAAGAUAUGACCUCUGCCAUCAUUUUCAUCAUUGAGUGGAAAUCCAUCUGGUCACUAAGUGUUAAAACCUUGUAUCUCAAAAUUUGAACAUUUUUUUUCAGGUCUUUUUUUUUAGUUUGAACAUUUUGAUGGCAGCUCAGGAAGGGCUGUAAAUAUGAAAAUGGACCUUGUAUC